rnacentral:rRNA from 1 species
CCUGAUCCAGCCAUGCCGCGUGUGUGAAGAAGGCCUUUUGGUUGUAAAGCACUUUAAGCGAGGAGGAGGCUACUCUAGUUAAUACCUAGGGAUAGUGGACGUUACUCGCAGAAGAAGCACCGGCUAACUCUGUGCCAGCAGCCGCGGUAAUACAGAGGGUGCGAGCGUUAAUCGGAUUUACUGGGCGUAAAGCGUACGUAGGCGGCUUUUUAAGUCGGAUGUGAAAUCCCUGAGCUUAACUUAGGAAUUGCAUUCGAUACUGGGAAGCUAGAGUAUGGGAGAGGAUGGUAGAAUUCCAGGUGUAGCGGUGAAAUGCGUAGAGAUCUGGAGGAAUACCGAUGGCGAAGGCAGCCAUCUGGCCUAAUACUGACGCUGAGGUACGAAAGCAUGGGGAGCAAACAGGAUUAGAUACCCUGGUAGUCCAUGCCGUAAACGAUGUCUACUAGCCGUUGGGGCCUUUGAGGCUUUAGUGGCGCAGCUAACGCGAUAAGUAGACCGCCUGGGGA